UGGCGACCGGCGCACCGGUGAGUAACACGUAUUCAACCUUCCGAUAACUCGGGGAUAGCCUUUCGAAAGAAAGAUUAAUACUCGAUAGUAUAUUUUCUUCGCAUGUUGAAAAUAUUAAAGAAUUUCGGUUAUCGAUGGGAAUGCGUUCCAUUAGGCAGUUGGCGGGGUAACGGCCCACCAAACCUACGAUGGAUAGGGGUUCUGAGAGGAAGGUCCCCCACAUUGGAACUGAGACACGGUCCAAACUCCUACGGGAGGCAGCAGUGAGGAAUAUUGGUCAAUGGACGCAAGUCUGAACCAGCCAAGUAGCGUGAAGGAUGACUGCCCUAUGGGUUGUAAACUUCUUUUAUAUGGGAAUAAAGUGCGCCACGUGUGGUGUUUUGUAUGUACCAUUAUGAAUAAGCAUCGGCUAACUCCGUGCCAGCAGCCGCGGUAAUACGGAGGAUGCGAGCGUUAUCCGGAUUUAUUGGGUUUAAAGGGAGCGUAGGUGGGCUGGUAAGUCAGCUGUGAAAGUUUGCGGCUCAACCGUAAAAUUGCAGUUGAUACUGUCAGUCUUGAGUACAGUAGAGGUUAGCGGAAUUCGUGGUGUAGCGGUGAAAUGCUUAGAUAUCACGAAGAACUCCAAUUGCGAAGGCAGCUGACUAGACUGUUACUGACACUGAUGCUCGAAAGUGUGGGUAUCAAACAGGAUUAGAUACCCUGGUAAUCCACACAGUAAACGAUGAAUACUCGCUGUUUGCGAUAUAC
rnacentral:rRNA from 1 species